rnacentral:rRNA from 1 species
GAUGAACGCUGGCGGCGUGCCUAAUACAUGCAAGUCGAGCGAACGGACGAGAAGCUUUCUUCUCUGAUGUUAGCGGCGGACGGGUGAGUAACACGUGGAUAACCUACCUAUAAGACUGGGAUAACUUCGGGAAACCGGAGCUAAUACCGGAUAAUAUUUUGAACCGCAUGGUUCAAAAGUGAAAGACGGUCUUGCUGUCACUUAUAGAUGGAUCCGCGCUGCAUUAGCUAGUUGGUAAGGUAACGGCUUACCAAGGCAACGAUGCAUAGCCGACCUGAGAGGGUGAUCGGCCACACUGGAACUGAGACACGGUCCAGACUCCUACGGGAGGCAGCAGUAGGGAAUCUUGCGCAAUGGGCGAAAGCCUGACGGAGCAACGCCGCGUGAGUGAUGAAGGUCUUCGGAUCGUAAAACUCUGUUAUUAGGGAAGAACAUAUGUGUAAGUAACUGUGCACAUCUUGACGGUACCUAAUCAGAAAGCCACGGCUAACUACGUG